rnacentral:rRNA from 1 species
UCGAGAAUCUUCGGCAAUGGGCGCAAGCCUGACCGAGCGACGCCGCGUGCGGGAUGAAGGCCUUCGGGUUGUAAACCGCUGUCAGUUGGGAGGAAAUGCAUCAGGGUUCUCUCUGGUGUUUGACCGAUCUUCAGAGGAAGGCCGGGCUAAGUUCGUGCCAGCAGCCGCGGUAAGACGAACCGGUCGAACGUUAUUCGGAAUCACUGGGCUUAAAGAGUGCGUAGGCGGCCUAGCAGGUGAGGUGUGAAAUCCCUCGGCUCAACCGAGGAACUGCGCUUCAAACCGUUAGGCUUGAGGGAGAUAGAGGUGAGCGGAACAGAUGGCGGAGCGGUGAAAUGCGUUGAUUUCAUCUGGAACACCUGUGGCGAAAGCGGCUCACUGGGUCUCUUCUGACGCUGAGGCACGAAAGCUAGGGUAGCGAACAGGAUUAGAUACCCCCGUAGUCC